GGUCUCACGGGCCCGUUGGUGAGUGGUUUCUGGUGGGGGCCCGGUGUGGACCUCCCGAGGGCUUUGGUUUGCUGCUGCUCGUCCUCGUGUCCCAUCACCGACCGCACAGCUGACCGUCGUAUUCUGGAAGGAACAUUGUGUGCAUUCUUGCCUUUCUUUCUUUUUCUUUUUUUUAACUGAAGGAACUUCGCCUCGCUUUCUUCAGGUGUCACAGGCCACUGCCCAAUGAGCAGGACAACUGGAGAUGCUGUGUCUCCUAUCCCCAGAUUCCUCCGGUGCUUACUCUAGAUUCACUUUAUUGGUCCAGAUGGACAUAAAGCAAGUGCUAAAUUAUGGCCUGCUCGCUGGUAGGGAUAAGAGUUUGUGUCCUCAAGUCCAGUGUGUAGGAAUGAACUUCAGAGAGGAUCAGAACAGCCUGCGCUUGUUCUAAACAUUUUCCCGUUGGGUUUGAGGGUGCCUCUGCGAGUCAUGGCCUGGUGCUGCCUGCUUCUCCACAGGGUCGGGGCCCCCAGCGGAACCUCGCCAGCUCCUGGCUUCCACCACAGUCCCCUUUUUCCGUCACUCCCUUCCGCUUCUUUGUGGUUCUCUUUCCCACCAGGACCUCACUGGUAGAAUCCUCCUUCUGUGUUUUCAGCCCUUCCACUCCCUUUCUCUCACUGUGGAAUCACAGGGCAUCAGGGCCUCUUUAAAAACAACAGAACAAGAGCUCUCCCACAAUCCUGUGUCCUGCUUCUCUCUCUGCAAUAGAAUCUUCAAGGUUCUUGAAAGAAUAGCCUGUAUCUGUUAUCACCAGCCGGUGCCUCAGCUUACCACAGCCUGUCUCGCUGCAUCAGCAAACCACCCUUGAGAGGUCACCAUUGACCUUGGAUUUACCCAACCCUGUAGCUACCUGCUGGGCCUUCUUCUAUUCUUUCUGUGGUCUCUGGAAGUAUUGCAUGGUCCCACGCCGAAGCUCCCUUCCUCGAGCUUCCAGGUUGUGUUUCUGUCCUGUCCUCGUGUUUCUCUUGGCCAUCCUUCCCAGCCUGGCCCCUGGCUCGUGGUCCUCGGCCUGCCCCACCUUCUGGCGUCAUCUGGGAGUUAGGCCCCGUUCCUUGGCUCCCAGUCCUUUAAAGCUUGAUUUCUGUGGAGUUUUUAAUCUUAAUUUUAUCUAAUUUCACAUUUUUAUAGUUCUUAAAGGCAAUAAGUUAUGUAAACCUUAAGAAAAAUGGCAUGACCCUCCCCGUCCCCCAUCCCUUUGCCCAGAGCUAUGGCUUUCAACUUUUAGUUGUUUGUUUUGUUACAUAUUUCCAUCUUUCUUAAUGUGCUUUGAUUUCUUUUUUUUUUUUUUUUUAUGUUUUAGACAUUAUCUAUUGGCUUUCUACUCUAAACGGUGAGACUUUCACGAGCAUUCCAUUCUACAAACCACACACUUCUACUGACACACACCCACCCACAAACUCACACGUGGACACCUCAGACUCCAUACACUCCCCUGCACAUCACCGCUGGACCCCCUACAUCACACUCCCCAGCCCCCGCUGUAUACCCAGUCUUCUCUCCCCUCAUCUUCCAUGAUGAUUAAAUAAUAAUUUGGGGUUAUAUUAAUAUUCAGUGUUUUCAUUAUUCUAACUCUAUAAAUAUUAAUCACAGCUGAGCCAUGUAGAGUUUUAUAAUUUCAUUUACCUUCUUGUACAACUUUUUAUUUUCCCUGGUUUGCUAGGUAUCUAUGAUUAAUUCAUGGCUAGCCCUCUGCCAGAGUAGACAUUUCCUGGUCUCUGAAGGCCCUGCCAGAUCAGUUGUUCUGUCAGCUUCGUUUCUUCCUGGAGAUGUCCCUCCUGAGCCCCUCCAGACCCCUCUGCUCCCUGCCCCUGUCCCUACCCCCUUGCUGCUUUUUUGGUCUCUUUACGUAAAUGGAGUGAGCUGCUAUACGAAACGGGGAGCAUGCGCCCUCCCUGCUGGAGUAGCUGAGGUUUCAUUCUCAAAAUGGAGAGGCCAGUUUCUUUCUUCAGGAACCAGGGUCAUUUCUUGGGUGCCAGCAUAACUUUUGUCACCUCUGGGUCACUGCAAGACUGUUCUUUCCCCUGUGGUUUUCAGAUGUCUCUUCUGGUUCAAGUUCAAAUGCUGUGAUCUCGGGGGCUUCCUCUUGGUGCCCGACCCUGUCCCUCCACCUUUAUGCGCUCAGGAAUGAGGGGCGAGGCCGACACCCCAGACUCAUCUAUGCCCGAACACAGCCUGUUGAGCCAUCUGCCUGUGGGGGUCCCCGUUUUCCGCCUUUUGGCCUCUGUUUGAUCCUGCCACUUGGCAUUAUUUUGCUGUGGAGCCAUUUUACAGGAUUCUCCUGUCCCAUCCAUAAAUGCAGACCUAUUUAUUUCAGGGUUGUUUUUUUUUCUCCCCCAGCUCUGCAUACGUCAUUGUUUUAAUCUUCUGUUAAAAGCUGGUCCCUUUCGCCCUUCAAUUCUUUCUUUCACUCUCCUCAGAAUUCCCUUUUUAUUAAUGAGGUGCCCCAAACUAAAUAGUGUACAGCUGCCAUUUCACCCGGGGUCUAUGGACUGGAACAAACAGUUCCCUGUUUUAUAAUGUAAUACUUCUAUUUAUGCAGUCCGCUCUGGAAUUGCUUUCUUACACCAUUGCCUUCUGGGUUUCUCUCAUUUAAUGCGUAUUAAGAGUUAUUUUUCCCCCUGAAGUGUAUGAGCAACUUUAGUCUAGAUGAUAGACUUCCUUUCUGUAUUUCAAAAUCCUUUUGUAUUGUCUUUGGCCUGGAGUCAUGUUUUUUGCUCUCCACCCUCCUCCCUCUCCAUCCUGCGCCCUCCUCCCUCACACAUGCGGGCUGAGCCCAUACUCUUCCCUAAUGACAGAAGGGCAAAUUCUUAGGUAAUGUUCACGUUGACAGUAAAAGUAACUUGGUGCCAUUUUAGAAACCCCUUUAAGACAACUCCUCUUAAAAUAUGUCCUCCUUCCCCAUAGGGAUUGGCUCCUAACUUCUUGAGAGAAUAUUUUCAAGAAAAGGUGAAUUUAAGACACUGAAAGUCAUCAACUUCAAAUUUAUCAACAGAGACUUUAUCAAAUAUUCCCAAUCUUCUCUUCUCUCAAGUAGGGGUCAGGACAUUAGUGUUCAGCUGGAACCGCCAUUCGUGUAGCAUAAGGAAGCCAUGGGGAGGUCUUCGAGCACCUUUUGGGGACCCCUGCUUGUUCUAACUAUAAACUGCAUGUAAAUGGUGUGCUGUCUAGAGUUUUCUACUCUGGCCUUCUGUCAACAGCUAGUUAAAUGAUGGUGUUCUUUCUUCUUUCCUUUCUGCCUCUGUUGUCCACACACCGGAAAGUUGUCCAAAAGAAAUAACUUCCUUCUCUGAACUCAGGACCUCCAACCCCAGUCCCCCAACACCUUCUUUCCACAGGUAUCCUUGCGUGGUCCUUGCUGCGGCUGGUGGAGAGAACUCUAGAAUAGUUUCUUCCCUGUGGUUGACAAAAAAAAUCUCUUCAGAUUUUCCUUGUUAACUUAAAGCCAGUAUGUUUUCCAGUCAGUCAAGUUCGCCACGUAGCCUUCCAACCCGCAUGAAUUUGUAAGUAUGGAGGAGGAGACACGGUGAAGCUCUCCUCCGCCCUUCAGAACUUUGUGGUAGCGGCCAGGAUUCACACCUGUCACUGAUCGCAUAAGCCCUUGAGAGGCCUCGUGGCCGAACUUAAAACACCUAGGCCCUGCCCUGCACCAAAGGGCCAAGUGUCAGCUGCUGGAGGUGUGCUGAUAGUACACCACUGCCCCCUGCGUGGUCCUGCUUGUGUGAGGCUUUACCCUUCUGCUCGUGGGCAAGCCAGGCCCUGUAUCAUAUUGUCUUUAACCUAGUGUGAUAGUUGUGUGCUUAUGCUUGCCACGUCACCCCCACGCUAGACAGGCAGGCAGGCACACAUAUGCACGUGUGCACACACUCACACACACACACACACACACACACACACACGCACAAUGGGACUUCCCAUUUAAAAAAUGGCUUGGAAAUAUACAGCUCAGAGAAAAGGAAGUAAUUUAAACAGGUGAAGUUUCCCCUCUGCCUCCCUGCCCAGUUUUUUGGUAAUGGGCCUGAGUGCAUUUUCUGCAAGACCAAGUGUUCUCUGGACUUUUUUGGGAUUUGGUCUUUUCAUUUUGUGCCCACAACCAGGUAGAGGUAGAGGUAGAGGUAGAGAAGGCUCGUUGUUAAGCACUGACUGACACACUGAGUUCUAGCCUUUCGUUAUUGGCACUGGCUGUUUACUUCCCCUUAGUUGACUGGAAGCUCAUGGAAGAUUGAAAGCUCUCAUAGGUGGGUCAUGUGAAGGACCACUUCCCUGUUUGCUUAUUAAAAAGGCAUUUCUGGCUCCCGGGUGAAGCUGUAGUUAAUUUCACUAUAUCAUUGCCCUGGGCUUCUGGAAGACAAGAGGUCCUUUGUGUUCCUCCUGUCUGCCUGCCUCCUCCUCCUCCUCCUCCUCCUCCUCCUCCUCCUCCUCCUCCUCCUCUUCUUCCUUUUUUCUGUCUUACCCUUGCCUUAACUAUUUUCUCUUGCACAUAGUCCUAGAGCUCCAGACUUUGCACAGAUGUAAUUUAACGGUUCUCGAUUGCACGCCGACUAUGUUCAAGACUUUUUAUGAGUCGGGAGACGCCUCUGACGUUUCCUCUCCUCUCUUGAUGUGGAUACCCUGGUGGAUAUGCCAGCCCAGGCAUUCGAGGCAACCAGAUGAUGACUCAGUUUACAGAGGGCACAGCUCUUUGGAGUUUAAGAGAAUAUUUUGUUUGGAGCGGAAGCUGGCAUCCCCCUUCACUGACACGUCUUUGGCGCUCGAGGUCGUGAAUUCCUGGGGUCGGGAGGCAGAGGCUUGCCAAGUGAUAAUGUGGAUUUGGUGACAACCUGUUCUGAAACACUCACUGGCUUCUCUUGAUGGAUCAUUUUUUCAUACCAUGUUUCAGGGAGUUUUUGCUUUUAACUUCUGCAGCUUAAAAGAGUAAGAAAAUGUUCUCUUUUCAAAACUUUCUCAUUUUGUCCUGUUUUUAUUUUUCAAAAUUGGUAUGAGGCUGCCUUCUAACUAUGAAGUACAUCUUUUUUUUCUAUAAGUAGCUAAAUUAUAUGCAAUUUUAGAGUAAUUUUUCUCAUAGCACUGAAAUAUGUUAAGACCAGUUCUGUAAUUCCAAAACAUUGUUUUUGUAAAACCAAACAGCUGUGUUCUUUUUUUUUUUUUUCGCCUUUUUAUGGUAUGUCUUGUUGUUGGGACUUGGGAAAAGGUAUGGGGAUAAAAAUAUUGCCAACUAAAGACAUUACAUGUAAAAGAAAUCAUAACAGAUUGGAGUGAGUGAAAUUUUAUGUAUUACAGAGGAGUGGAAAAAUAUGACUGUGUGUUAAAUAUAUUUUCUGACAAGGACUGUUUGGACAAUAGGAGUAUAAACCUCAGUGCUUUUUGGAAAGAUACUUGACAACGCACGGAUAAAGAGAGAUCAUUAUGUGUCAGCGUGAAAGAGGGCAUAAUACCGUUAAAGGAAAAAUGGAGUUUAUAGAAUAACAUGAUUUGGUUCUGUUAGUUUGAUUAAUUUGAUUCUAUUUUGUAAAAGUAUUUUUCUUAAAGCUUUUAAAAUAACCAUUCUCAGCAAAGUUUGUAAUUGGCGUCUCUGGCUGUUUCAUGGGUGGGAUCUACUUAACGUGGAAUCUAAGAGAGUGUCAGGCACAUGGCAGGACUCAGAUAUUGAUGGCACGUGUACACACAGAUACUAACACUAUUGCUAAGAACAUACCAAAGAGUAAAUCUUGGUUGUCUUUUGUCGUAGAGACACUUUUCUGUUUGUCACUGUAAAGCAUACAUAGUUUGAUUACCGUCUGAUUCUCUUGCAUUUUGCAUCUACAUGGCGAGGACAGGAGUAGUUCUUAGGGUAUAUACACUGUCUUGUUUUUCUGUUGGAACAGAUUUUCUGAUUUGCCUUAAUUAGUCCUCUAACAAUCUACAAAGGUCAGCGCCAAUUGCCUGUUCAUUUACAUUUGUAAUUGUGAUGGCUUCUGAUUACAUAUUCCUUGUCUUAGUCCUUCCUGUAAGUAUAUGCUAGUGUGCCCUCCCCUUCCCUCCUCCCACAUCCCGCACAUGCAUCAGCCCAGUGUGGACGCCGAGGAUCUGACUCUUCAUACAAGAAACCUUUGUGGGGAUGGUCCAGCCUUCCCUUGAAUUUCAGCGUCUGUUAUGGAAAGGCAUCUUGGAGAGGCCGUCGCUUCUAAGUUAGGAAUAUAAUGAAGCCAGAGUCAGGGAAAUUAUGUCGAUGCCAGGCAAGAAAUCUGAGAGCCAUUAUCUAGGAGCCUUCUCGAACUGGGUAAUUAAGGGCAAUUAAACUUUCCUGCUUGCUCUCUGCACAAUAUGCUAAUGAUCUGGUCUUUUGGAAGGUGGACACGUCUGAAAUGUGGUUUCAUUGCCGUCCCAUGUUCUGGUCUGGAAGGGUCUCUCCGAAGAGGGUGAGAUGUCACGACACCAGUGGCUUGGGCAAUGGGUCCAGAGUCUCCAACCUCCCAUGUAAUCUCUUUCCUCUCUGUCUUUUCCAGGAGAGGCUAACAUCCACAUCCAGACCUGGACCUUUAAGAUAUUAUCCAAAACCUGGCUGCAGUAGCCUGAGUUGCAGUGAUGCUUAUUCAUUCGCCCUUUCAUAUUCUAGAUCUGCCAUUCACUAGUUGAUUUAUUUUUAUGAGCUGAUCAAAGCUACCAGGGAUUUGUUUGUUUGUUUUAUUUUACUAUAUAAAUCUGGAGCAUACGUUGCCCUGUACAGUGGGCUAUACGUGUGGCUACACAUUGUGGGCCACUUAGCCUUGUUCUUGGUUGGGGGCUCUAGGUUGUCUUCCAUACUGUCCUCUGGGGUAGGUAGUAGUGUGUGUCCUCAUGGCCACCUAGUGCUGCCCACUCUGGGAGGCAGCAAUACCAUGGCCACUCUCUUCUAGGGAGGGUGGUAACAAGGAGCACUGCAAAAAG